ACUACUUAAAUUUAUUAGAUCAAUUAUUUUUAUAUGAUCCUAUAAUCUAAAUUAUUUUCUAAAGUUUAAUUAGGCCCUCAUGUCUUAUUAUUUAAAUUUAUCUGACUAGGUGCGGCGCGACUAGGAUGUGAACUUUAAAUUCUUGCAGUUAAUUUUCAAAGCUCAAAAGUUCAAGUUUCAGGUGUGGGAUUUAUUUCAGUACAUGCACGUGGUUAAUAUUUGUCCAUUUUAAUAUUAUGUGUUUACCGUAUGUGUUGUAAAAAUAUUUAUCGCUAGGGGCCAGCAUAAUUGGUCCAGGACUUCACCGUCCUUGGUAUGCCACAAUGCGAUUUCAUGUUACAGGGUUGCAACCAUUAUAUUGUCGCCAGGGAUCCAUAUAUAGGGUCCGGGACAUUAAAGUCCUUGGAGUUGCCACAGUGCGUAUGGAAGUUAUGUUACGUUAUGACAAUAUGUGUUACCAUUUUAUUAACAUGGACAAUUAUUGCAUGUUCCCACACUGAGUGUACCCUGUAUGCUCAUCCCAUAUUCAACAGUUUCAGGUGAUUGAUAUCGGAGGCGCGUGGAGAGUCGAAUGGGCGCGUCGCAUCUAUUUAAAAAUAAAUGUUUCUUAAAACAUAUUAUGUUA
rnacentral:lncRNA from 1 species